rnacentral:lncRNA from 1 species
AAAGAUAACAGUGAAUAUGAGACAUGGGGGAAGGUAGAAGAUAACAGUGAAUAUGAGACAUGGAGGAAGGUAGAAAGAUAACAGUGAAUAUGAGACAUGGGGGAAGGUAGAAAGAUAACAGUGAAUAUGAGACAUGGGGGAAGGUAGAAAGAUAACAGUGAAUAUGAGACAUGGAGGAAGGUAGAAAGAUAACAGUGAAUAUGAGACAUGGAGGAAGGUAGAAAUAUAACAGUGAAUAUGAGACAUGGAGGAAGGUAGAAAGAUAACAGUGAAUAUGAGACAUGGAGGAAGGUAUUGGGAAGGUAGAAAGGUAACAGUGAAUAUGAGCCAUGGGGGAAGGUAGAAAGAUAACAGUGAAUAUGAGACAUGGGGGAAGGUAGAAAGAUAACAGUGAAUAUGAGACAUGGAGGAAGGUAGAAAUAUAACAGUGAAUAUGAGACAUGGAGGAAGGUAGAAAGAUAACAGUGAAUAUGAGACAUGGAGGAAGGUAUUGGGAAGGUAGAAAGGUAACAGUGAAUAUGAGCCAUGGGGGAAGGUAGAAAGAUAACGGUGAAUUUGAGACAUGGGGGAAGGUAGAAAGAUAACAGUGAAUAUGAGACAUGGAGGAAGGUAGAAAGAUAACAGUGAAUAUGAGACAUGGAGGAAGGUAGAAAGAUAACAGUGAAUAUGAGACAUGGGGGAAAGUAGAACAUAACAGUGAAUAUGAGACAUGGAGGAAGGUGGAAAGAUAACAGUGAAUAUGAGACAUGGAGGAAGGUAUUGGGAAGACUGAAAGAUAACAGUGAAUAUGAG